CCAGCUCAGUGUUGAGAG
rnacentral:misc_RNA from 1 species